GACGAACGCUGGCGGCGUGCCUAAUACAUGCAAGUAGAACGCUGAAGCGAGGAGCUUGCUCUUCUUGGAUGAGUUGCGAACGGGUGAGUAACGCGUAGGUAACCUGCCUUGUAGCGGGGGAUAACUAUUGGAAACGAUAGCUAAUACCGCAUAACAAUGGAUGACACAUGUCAUUUAUUUGAAAGGGGCAAUUGCUCCACUACAAGAUGGACCUGCGUUGUAUUAGCUAGUAGGUGAGGUAACGGCUCACCUAGGCGACGAUACAUAGCCGACCUGAGAGGGUGAUCGGCCACACUGGGACUGAGACACGGCCCAGACUCCUACGGGAGGCAGCAGUAGGGAAUCUUCGGCAAUGGGGGCAACCCUGACCGAGCAACGCCGCGUGAGUGAAGAAGGGUUUCGGAUCGUAAAGCUCGGUUGUAAGUCAAGAACGAGUGUGAGAGUGGAAAGUUCACACUGUGACGGUAGCUUACCAGAAAGGGACGGCUAACUACGUG
rnacentral:rRNA from 1 species